CCGGGUUGUUUUUGGUAUUUUCGGUUCUAUAUAGUACCAAUAUUUUGAGUUGAUGUACUCUAGCACUUUCAGUACUGCUGCCCGUACCCAUUGUUUUUCGAUUUUCAUGAUAGGUACUUUUCAGUACCGGUACACCCUACUUUCAUCUGGUCUUCUUUGUCUUUUUAAAGAAUGAACAGAAAGGAAGUGGAAGGAAGAUGGAAAAGAUUUGUGUUUCCAAGUUUUUUUAAUAGAGGGAAGUGGAAGGAAACUAACAUUAGUUCUUCACUGCUUUGCCUUCUGGAAACAAUUGAAGGAAAACAUGGAAAGAAUUCUUCAUGCAUCAAUUUUUGAGAAGAUUCGUCCAAAUACUAGCACAUUUUUAUGCUAAGAAAUCCUCUAGUGAUGAAUGGCUAGCUUCACACUCCCAAGUUAAAAGUUACAGUUCUAAAUUUGAUAGUUGACCAACAACCUCCAUUAGUUCCUGUGAUGAUUUUUCCCAAGGGCGGGAACAUAAUCCACUAAUCUCUACAAAAUUUGCUUUGUCAGAAGGUGAUUCCUCUACUUCUCUAUCUAAUGUGGAAGAGUUUGUUGGAGAAUCUAAGGCUACAACAAUUUGAUGGUGAUAGACUGCUUGGGGGAAUUUUAUGCACUUUCUAUUAUGUUUAGUUUCUGUUUUCAUGGAUUUUAUGAAGUUUAUUCUCAGUUUAAUCAAUGGUUGUAGUAGUCGUUUUAGUAGUUUUGGUUUUCAGCUUUGGACACUGUUAAGUUGUUAUCAUUUGUCAAAAAGUGUAUGGUUGCUUGGAUUGGUAUUGGUGUCUAUUGACUUAAUCAUAUGAGUUAUGUCUUUAUUAUCUUGUGUGAUCAAUUGUAUUUUAGUUAAUUACUGUUGGGCGAGUUACCAUAUGCAACAGUUGAACAUAAUUUGUACAAAGGAUUCAAAUGGCUAACUGGAUAGUAAGGCUGGUGAAGACUUGAG